rnacentral:rRNA from 1 species
UAGGGAAUCUUCCGCAAUGGACGCAAGUCUGACGGAGCAACGCCGCGUGAGUGAAGAAGGAUUUCGGUUCGUAAAACUCUGUUGUUAGAGAAGAACAGCGCAUAGAGUAACUGUUAUGCGUGUGACGGUAUCUAACCAGAAAGCCACGGCUAUCUACGUGCCAGCAGCCGCGGUAAUACGUAGGUGGCAAGCGUUGUCCGGAUUUAUUGGGCGUAAAGCGAGCGCAGGCGGUCAAUUAAGUCUGAUGUGAAAGCCCCCGGCUCAACCGGGGAGGGUCAUUGGAAACUGGUUGACUUGAGUGCAGAAGAGGAGAGUGGAAUUCCAUGUGUAGCGGUGAAAUGCGUAGAUAUAUGGAGGAACACCAGUGGCGAAGGCGACUCUCUGGUCUGUAACUGACGCUGAGGCUCGAAAGCGUGGGUAGCAAACAGG